AGAGUUUGAUCCUGGCUCAGAGUGAACGUUGGCGGCGCGCCUAACACAUGCAAGUCGAGCGAAAAAGCUCCUUCGGGAGUGAGUAAAGCGGCGAACGGUUGAGUAACACGUGAGAAUCUACCCUUCAGUGAAGAAUACCUUUGAGAAAUCGAAGUUAAUGCUGCAUAAUCCCCUUCGGGGGCAAAGGUGGCCUCUUUGCUGCCGCUGAAGGAUGAGCUUGCGGCCUAUCAGCUAGUUGGUGAGGUAAAAGCUUACCAAGGCAACGACGGGUAGCCGGCCUGAGAGGGUGAUCGGCCAGACUGGAACUUAGACACGGUCCAGACUCCUACGGGAGGCAGCAGUGGGGAAUCUUGCGCAAUGGGCGAAAGCCUGACGCAGCGACGCCGCGUGGAGGAUGAAAGUCUUCGGA
rnacentral:rRNA from 1 species